rnacentral:rRNA from 1 species
AUGAAAGCCGUGACAGUGUUCCCCAAUAUCAAAUUCCUAACGGUGAAGGGCACGCCGCGCUUCGCGGACUUUGGCGCCUUCCCGCCCAACUGGGGCGCCGACGCGGUACCAUGGAUCAACGCCUCCAGAACUGGCUGGCGGAACCUUAAGGAGAUCACGCUCAAACGCAUGAGCGUCACUAAUCGCUGCCUGGAGCUCAUUGCCUUCGGGUUGGAGCACCUCGAGGUCCUGCGCCUAAUCCUCGGCGGCGGCUUCAGCUCCGCCGGGCUGGCCCAUAUCGCCGCCAAACGUGGCAGAUCGGCAAAAGAUGAUGUAAUAUCAAAUCGUACAGUCCCACUUUCGUCAUUUUUAUAUAAAAAACACCAGGCUGCUUGUAGUACCGCAGAAUCGGUUAGUAUCUUCAAUGCGCAUCAUUUUCACUGCAUAUUUGAGCACUCCACUCACCACGUGUUGGAACUUGGAAUAGUUAUUAUUCUUAUGCUCAAGUUCUCAUUUCUAUGUGCUCUUCACGUUGCAGACAUUUAA